CUUUCCGAGGAGCGUUGCAAGGCCGCCCACCCCAGGCGCCCCAGGCUCGGAAGCUUGAUCUGCAACCGCGCUCACCCGCA
rnacentral:ncRNA from 2 species